CAGAUGCCCGGCUCGCUGGUGUGGAGCCGGGUGUGGAAUGCGAGUGCCUAGUGGGCCACUUUUGGUAAGCAGAACUGGCGCUGCGGGAUGAACCGAACGCUGGGUUAAGGCGCCUGAUGCCGAUGCUCAUCAGACCCCAGAAAAGGUUUUGGUUGAUAUAGACAGCAGGACGGAGAUGGGAAGAGC